AAAGAAAUCGUUAAGGGCGUAUGGCGGAUGCCUAGGCUUUCAGAGGCGAAGAAGGACGUGGUAAGCUGCGAAAAGCUCGGGGGAUUGGCACACACGAAUUGAUCCCGAGAUGUCCGAAUGGGGCAACCCGUCUGGUUGAAGACCAGUCACUCCGCAAGGAGAGCAAACCCGGAGAACUGAAACAUCUAAGUACCCGGAGGAAAAGAAAUCGAAGAGAUUCCGUAAGUAGUGGCGAGCGAACGCGGAUUAGCCCAAAAGUCUUUAUAUAUUUAAAAGAAUGUUCUGGAAAGAACAGCCGUAGAGGGUGAUAGCCCCGUAUUUGAAAGGUAUAUUUAGAUGAUAAAUGAGUAGGGCGGGACACGUGAAAUCCUGUCUGAAUAUGGGGGGACCAUCCUCCAAGGCUAAAUACUCCUGAAAGACCGAUAGUGAACAAGUACUGUGAAGGAAAGGUGAAAAGCACUUCGAAUAGAAGGGUGAAAUAGAACCUGAAACCGUACGCCUACAAGCGGUCGGAGCCCACAAGUUGGGUGACGGCGUGCCUUUUGCAUAAUGAGCCUACGAGUUAAUGUUACUAGCGAGGUUAAGGACUUCAGGUCCGGAGCCGGAGCGAAAGCGAGUCUGAAUAGGGCGCUUAGUUAGUAGUAUUAGACGCGAAACCUUGUGAUCUACCCAUGGGCAGGUUGAAGCUUUGGUAACACAAAGUGGAGGACCGAACCGGUUGACGUUGAAAAGUCUUCGGAUGACCUGUGGGUAGGGGUGAAAGGCCAAUCAAACUGGGAGAUAGCUCGUACUCCCCGAAAUGCAUUUAGGUGCAGCGUCGUGUAUAAGUUUAUUAGAGGUAGAGCUACUGAUUGGAUGCGGGGGAGUCAAAUCCUACCAAUUCCUGACAAACUCCGAAUGCUAAUAAAUGUUCCACGGCAGUGAGGGCGCGGGUGCUAAGGUCCGUGUCCGAGAGGGAAAGAACCCAGACCAACAGCUAAGGUCCCCAAAUCUCUAUUAAGUUGAAGCAACGCGGUUGGACUGCAUUGACAGCUAGGAUGUUGGCUUGGAAGCAGCCAUUCAUUUAAAGAGUGCGUAACAGCUCACUAGUCGAGCGGUCCGGCAUGGAUAAUAAUCGGGCAUAAAUAGAGUACCGAAGCUAUGGAUUUACAACCGUUGGGUUGUAUCUGGUAGGGGAGCAUUCUGUUUGCACAGAAGCAGUAUCGUGAGAUAUUGUGGAGCGUACAGAAAAGAAAAUGUAGGCAUAAGUAACGAUAAAGCGGGCGAGAAACCCGCUCACCGAAAGACUAAGGUUUCCUCAGCCAUGCUAAUCAGCUGAGGGUUAGUCGGGACCUAACGCGAACCCGAAAGGGGUAGUGGAUGGACAAUGGGUUAAUAUUCCCAUACUUGCUCACACUAAAAAGGGGACGGAGUGCCGUACCUGCUGGAGACUGACGGAAUAGUCAAGGCCUAGCCUUCGGGCGAAGCUGCUGCAGGGAAAGUGCUUCCAAGAAAAGCCGAAGUGAAGCAACCCGUACCAUAAACCGACACAGGUAGUCGAGGAGAGAAUCCUAAGGUGCUAGAGUGAAUCAUGGUUAAGGAACUAGGCAAAAUAGUCUCGUAACUUCGGAAGAAGAGACGCCAACAGCAAUG
rnacentral:rRNA from 1 species